UACGAAGGGGGCUAGCGUUGCUCGGAAUUACUGGGCGUAAAGCGCGUGUAGGCGGGUCUUUAAGUCAGGGGGGAAAUGCCAGGGCUCAACCUUGGAACUGCCUUUGAUACUGGAGACCUUGAGUCCGGGAGAGGUGAGUGGAAUUGCGAGUGUAGAGGUGAAAUUCGUAGAUAUUCGCAAGAACACCAGUGGCGAAGGCGGCUCACUGGCCCGGAACUGACGCUGAGACGCGAAAGCGUGGGGAGCAAACAGG
rnacentral:rRNA from 1 species